UACGAAGGGGGCUAGCGUUGCUCGGAAUCACUGGGCGUAAAGCGCACGUAGGCGGAUUGUUAAGUCAGGGGUGAAAUCCUGGAGCUCAACUCCAGAACUGCCUUUUGAUACUGGCGAUCUUGAGUCCGGGGAGAGGUGAGUGGAACUGCGAGUGUAGAGGUGAAAUUCGUAGAUAUUCGCAAGAACACCAGUGGCGAAGGCGGCUCACUGGCCCGGUACUGACGCUGAGGUGCGAAAGCGUGGGGAGCAAACAGG
rnacentral:rRNA from 1 species